CAUGCAAUGACAAGGCAUUGAUGUUUUUUGUUCGCAAGCUUGUUCUUGUUUGUUUAAACCACAAUAUUUUAUUUAAAGCCAAACACAUUCCUGGGACGUACAAUCGCCUGGCUGAUCUUUUGUCUCGAUUUCAGGUUCAAACCUUCAAACGCGAAGCACCAGCCUCGAUGAAUUCCUGUGCAACGGACAUUCCACGGCAUCUGUUGCCAGCGAAUUGGGAAAUAUCGUUUCCCACUUGACACAAUCGAGCCUCCAGCCAUCCUCAAUUCCGACUUACCGACGCGCUUGGAAACUUUUUGACCAAUUUCAUUCUCAUGUGUUUCAAACAUUUUCAUAUAAAUUACCAAUUUCGCCUCCUACAUUAGCACUUUUUAUCGCCUACAUGUUUGACCGGCGCUACGCCCCCUAUACUGUCAACGGCUACGUCUCGGCUCUCGGCUAUCCCCACAAAUUAAUGGGAUUGAUGGAUCCCACUAAAAUAUUUUACAUUGUGCAAAUGUUGAAAGGCUAUGGCAAACAGGGUUUUCGUUUGGACGCUAGGUUGCCUAUUACGCUAACGAUUUUAAAUCGAUUAGUAAUGGCUGUGCCACACUGUGUCGUUACGUACUACGACCAGUGCCAAUUUCGUGCGAUGUGUGCUCUAGCAUUCUUCGCAUUUUUGCGCGUGGGUGAGAUCACCGCAACAUCACAGCCGGGCAAUUGCCC